rnacentral:lncRNA from 1 species
UUUUGCUAUGUUCAGAUAUUCAUAUAACAAAAUAUAUACAAAUUUAAAACAAGUGUGCUAUUAGUAUACUUCUUUUAAACUAAAAAUAGGAAAGUAUGCUUUUAGUUUACUUUUUAUGUACUUCUCAGAAAUGGGCUUUAUGUACUUCUCAGAAAUAUACUUAAAAUGACAUUUAAGUAUACUUGACUUAUACUUACACAAAGUCUAAGUAUAUUUGAACUAUACUUGUGCUCCUAGAAUCCGUGUUUUCAUUAUUAUGCGGUAGAGGGCACUAGUACAAGUAGUACAGUAAAUUCUGUACAGAAUUUCCAAGAAAACACAAGUGAAGAAGAAAAAGAAACAACAGAUACUAACACAUGUAAUCUAACGUGAUCAUCUGACAUGAAACAGCAUCAAAACUGUAAUGUUAUGGAAUAAAAUGUCGACCGAUGAAGAUGUUAUAAUUACAGUAAUUCUGGCAUCAACUGGUUUCAUUUAACAUCCAUGGAAACCUUCCAGUUGGACAAAAGGUUCUUUAGAGUGCAAAAAAAAAGUUCUUUAGAUUAUUAAAAUGAGAAAAUGAAAGUGUUAAAAUGAAAUUGUUUUUUUGGGGGCAUCGCCGUACACCUAUUUGGUAUUUUUUUUUUUUUUAAACACUACCGUGUAGAAAAGCCAGGAUAUACGAUGUGGCCGUACACCUAUUUGGUAUUUUUUUUUUAAACACACCCGUGUAGAAAAGCCAGGAUAUACGAUGUGUCUUCAUUUUUAAGUAUGAGUUCUAGUACUUCAGUCAUUUAAAUGAAUACAAUUGACUUUAAUUUAAAAAAAAAAAACAAUUUUUGUAGUUAUGUCAAUAUCUAAUAUAUUUUACUGGGAAAAAACAUCCUCAUCUAAUAUAUACUAAUUAAAAAAAAAAAAACAGGGAAAAAGUCAUAGGGUCUUUGAAUAUUGCUGUGGGCACUGGGAGGCUUUAAAGUCAAAAAGGUUGAGGACACUUAAUUUAGAACCAAAAAGAUCUGUUAAAGUAAAUGGAAGUCAUAAU